rnacentral:rRNA from 1 species
UACGUAGGGAGCAAGCGUUGUCCGGAAUCAUUGGGCGUAAAGCGCGCGUAGGCGGCCCGAUAAGUCCGUUGUGAAAGUCAAAGGCUCAACCUUUGAAUGCCGAUGGAUACUGUCGGGCUAGAGUCCGGAAGAGGCGAGUGGAAUUCCUGGUGUAGCGGUGGAAUGCGCAGAUAUCAGGAGGAACACCAAUGGCGAAGGCAGGUCUCUGGGCCACAACUGACGCUGAGGAGCGAAAGCGUGGGGAGCGAACAGG